UGCAGUCGAGGGGCAUCAUGGCGGUCGCUUGCGACCGCUGAUGGCGACCGGCGCACGGGUGCGUAACGCGUAUCGAACCUGCCGCAUACCCGGGGAUAGCCUUGCGAAAGCAAGAUUAAUACCCGAUGUUCUCACUGUUCCGUAUGUUACGGUGAGCAAAGAAAUUCGGUAUGCGAUGGCGAUGCGUCCCAUUAGCUAGUUGGCGGGGUAACGGCCCACCAAGGCUCCGAUGGGUAGGGGUUCUGAGAGGAAGGUCCCCCACACUGGAACUGAGACACGGUCCACACUUAUACGGGAGGCAGCAGUGAGGAAUAUUGGUCAAUGGACGCAAGUCUGAACCAGCCAAGUAGCGUGCAGGAUGACGGCCCUCCGGGUUGUAAACUGCUUUUGUUGGGAAUAAAAGGGGGCUCGUGAGCCCCGUAUUGUAUGUACCAUCAGAAAAAGGACCGGCUAAUUCCGUGCCAGCAGCCGCGGUAAUACGGAAGGUCCGGGCGUUAUCCGGAUUUAUUGGGUUUAAAGGGAGCGUAGGCCGGCUUUUAAGUCAGCUGUGAAAGUCCGCGGCUCAACCGUGGAAUUGCAGUUGAAACUGGAGGCCUUGAGUGCACACAGGGAUGCCGGAAUUCAUGGUGUAGCGGUGAAAUGCUUAGAUAUCAUGAAGAACUCCGAUCGCGAAGGCAAGUGUCCGGGGUGCAACUGACGCUGAGGCUCGAAAGUGCGGGUAUCAAACAGGAUUAGAUACCCUGGUAGUCCGCACCGUAAACGAUGAAUACUCGUGUCCCGCGAUAUAUUGUGGGACACUUAGCGAAAGCGUUAAG
rnacentral:rRNA from 1 species